CCGGGACAGAAAGUAAAUAGGGGUUUUGUGUGGGUCUUUGAAUACAGAACUGGUAAAAGCCCCAAAGACCCACACAAAACCCCUAUUUACUUUCUGUCCCGG
rnacentral:miRNA from 1 species